CCAGUCUAAAAAGGGAUCAAGAUGUCGGUUGCCUCUGUCAUUUAAUAAUUCCAUCGAGUACCACAUGAUGUGGUACUUACGCCAUCGUAAGUAAACGGUUGUUAGCCAUCCUAAGUAAAUAAGUAAGUAAACGGUGGCGGAGAAUCCGAAAAACGAAAAAGGAAAGCACAAAGUGUGUAAAGCGAACUUCCGAGAGCGAAUGAUGGACUGAACAGGAAAUUAAAUUUACACAGAUUUCUGCAUUUGCAUACUCUACCGAAUAACAACCUUGAAACAGAAACUACACGUGCUCGUACAUCCAAUUAUCAGAAAGUUCCGCUAGUAAUUGCGAUACUCGCUUUUCUAUCAAAUAACUAACCUACAUACCGUAACUUCCAUUUAUGAAAGUUCGAAAGAAAACAACAAACAUGAUACAACUAGAGAAAAUCACGCUAAGACGAUCAAACCUUUCUGACAUUAAUGUAUGCAAAGGCGUGUCACGUACUAGUCGCGUGAGUAGCAGCCUGCCCCUAUUAUAUUCGCUUUUUCACGGUCGCGCCACGUUCGAGAACUUGACGCAGAAAAUAAUGCAAUGAUACGACCCAGUCAGCCAGUGCGCCAGCGUUGCGAAGACAACUCUGUCCUUCUAUCAAGGGAAUAUGAAUGGUUUCCAAAAAUAAUCCACCCAUCCGUCAAAUACAAUAUUUCGCAGAUUAUUUACUCGGUGAACGUUCUUGGUCAAUUUUGCAAAACAGAUAACACAGAGGUCGAAAGGUCGCACGUUCAUCGUGUAUGAGGAAGAUAAUAUAUGAUACGAUACGUGUCCAUUGUGAUCUAUAAGGUAACAGAAGACGAAGACAAGAAAAGCUGAAGGAUCUGGCGUCUCUUUCGACACUUGCACGUGAACAUAGAGCACCAGAGAAGACACACCUGCAUUCCCCACAUUAUAUAUCUCUGGGUUCUUCUUUCUUUGAUUCCAUAUGAAAGCGAACGGUGGGUACGUUUGAUCGUAGCAGUCUAGACGGCUUCCAAUACUAAUUCCAGUAAUUCCUCUUCACGGGCCAUCCUCGUUUCCCGUGUAAUCGGUCAGAUCUCUCAGAACGGUCGAAAAGGUCUUGAGAAAAAAGGAAAAGAAGCAACAGGUGUGCCUCGAGACGGUAAGAGCGGGUACAAAAGCGACGACAGAUAAUCCGAUGCGAAUGUGUACGAGUCAAAGAUCUCGUAUUGGAUCGGAAUAGGCACGUACAUAUAUACCUAACUUGGAAGGCAUCUAAUGCGGUUAAGGAAUUUCAGUCUGCUGUCGGGAGCCACCGAUGGAUUGGACUGCGGAUAAUCUCGACAAAAACAAGAUUACACAUUUACGUAAUGAACUAACUUGAACAAUUGAUAUUACACCGUCAUUCUUGGCAAUUAUCUAGCUGGCUAUCUUGUAAUUUUAGUUACGCCGAUCGUUAGUGCCUUUUCAAAAUAAUCUACUACCUCUCCUCUAACAAUAUUUUAACGACGUUUCUUCUUUUCCUUGGAAAACAAGCUUUUAUACUAGCCCUGGUAAUUUUGUUCUCACGAGAAACGAAGACCAAUUGACUUGGAAUUUGUUUACACUACUUUCCACGUGUCUUGAUGAUCCUAAUCUUUUUAAAGAAUAUUAUUUCCUUCGGAAAAUAAAAUCGUAGACUUCAAUGUCUCGUUUCAUAAUGUUCUGUAAAUGAUGCUUCUAAUAUCGACUAUAUUUUAAUUUUUAAUAAAUCCUACUUUAUGCGAGACUCACUUCCCUAGACUUAGAUUCAAAGUAUUCUUUUAAUAUCGUUCAAAGAAGCCUAUUCUCUUUUUAGAAACUCGGGACAUAUUUUAAUGUCUCUAGAUUUUCUAUGAUCGAUAACAACCACGUUAUCAACUCUAUAUCAGAUAUCGGAUAUCGAAGAGGAAGAUCGCCUCUGACAAUUCUUUCCUGCCGUAGGAUUCAAUUAGCACCAAAGCAGAUACUUAUUAGCAGAAUAGUUCCAACAUACAGCACGUAUCGUGUAACAAAACUCGCAUUCAACCAUCAACCGCAUUCCAAUCAAAUUACUUCACUGUUUCUCGAGCCUCGCUAACACUUGCUCGAAAAAAUCACUAUUUCCACGUCUCUUCUCCGUUUCCCUGUAUCGCCCCAGAUAUCUAGACUAAACAACAAAUCACGAUUUACAAUUCACAGUCACGGCGAUCCGUUUUUCGCAGAAUUUGUACAAUUAGAAAAAUCAUGGUGCACCAUUAAUAAACAGCGACUUGGAGAUUAGGAAUUUCAGUGUAAAAGUGGUUUAAAAUGAUCCCAGCUAACCUCUUCGUAAACGCCGUUGUUCUUCUCAUACAUUCUCCCUUCCUCAUCCAAUUUUCUAGUUCAACGAGUAAGAGUCCGACACCUGAGAAUUCAAUCAGUCGCUUAUUUUUAUUAAGUGCACAUAAACGCGAUAAA